rnacentral:rRNA from 1 species
AGCAUGUGGUUAAUUCGAAGCAACGCGAAGAACCUUACCAGGUCUUGACAUCCCGAUGCUAUUUCUAGAGAUAGAAAGUUACUUCGGUACAUCGGUGACAGGUGGUGCAUGGUUGUCGUCAGCUCGUGUCGUGAGAUGUUGGGUUAAGUCCCGCAACGAGCGCAACCCCUAUUGUUAGUUGCCAUCAUUCAGUUGGGCACUCUAGCGAGACUGCCGGUAAUAAACCGGAGGAAGGUGGGGAUGACGUCAAAUCAUCAUGCCCCUUAUGACCUGGGCUACACACGUGCUACAAUGGUUGGUACAACGAGUUGCGAGUCGGUGACGGCGAGCUAAUCUCUUAAAGCCAAUCUCAGUUCGGAUUGUAGGCUGCAACUCGCCUACAUGAAGUCGGAAUCGCUAGUAAUCGCGGAUCAGCACGCCGCGGUCGAAUACGUUCCCGGGCCUU